UUCUCCAAACUCAGGCCACUAGGCCCUGGAGCAGUGAAUGUCUGUCUUUCCCCUCCCAUCCACCCACCCACCGCGGUGGAGCUAGUGCUGCCUCGUAAAGUGGCCACAGUGCUUUAUGGCAGCGGUACCGUUUCCUUAAACAGGCCUUGAGAGCCAGUGGCUGCACACUGCCCUCUCACCGUCAUAGGAAAGAAAAUGUGUAAACCAUCAUAAAAAAGAAAAAUCAGCUAUGGAUAUACUGUGUUACAAAUUUGGCCUGUGACGACUGAGGAGAGAGGCUAGGAUGCAAAGUAUAGAAUUACAAAGGAUAUUUCCAUCAUCCAGGGGCAGCAGGAAGCAAGUGAAGCUGGAGGCUCGCCUCACCCACACUGGGUGAUCAGCUCCCCUUGAUGGUGGCCGGCACCAGGCAAUUGAUUGGGUUCCCAGGACUGUCCAGGAAACAGAUGAGUGUCAGACCAGGGGGGUCCGUGAAGAGUCUACAGGGAAGGACCACUGAAAAUCUCACUGUGGGAGCAGGAGGAAGUAGAGAAGAUGGUAAAACAACAAUUGACAUGGACAGUCCCUCCACAGGUAUUUACAAAGUCACGGGUUUUGUGUGGGCAAGCCCUGCAGAAAAUAUUAAGAGAGUUUACUCCACCCUCAAGAGUUAGGUUGUUGCAGUACGUGGAUGAUUUGCUUUUAUCAGGGGAACAGGAAAAGGUGGUUGAAGAGGCUACUGUGAAGCUGCUUAAUUUUCUUGCUAAAAAGGGACUUAGAAUGUCUGAAAAGAAGGAGCAGUUGGUAGAGAAAAAGGCUAAAUAUUUGGGACACAUUUUGACUGGAGGGUUGCGGUGUAUUGAUCCAGACAGAAUACAAGGGAUCUUACAAGUACCAUUACCCCAGACAAAGAAGAAGUUAUGGCAGUUUUUAAAGUUAGUAGGGCAUUGCAGAGCAUGGACUGAGAAUUUUUCUGUUUAACCAGACCUUUAUAUGAAUUUUUAACCCAAGAGAGUCCUAAUGUUGUGGCAUGGACACCAGAAGGAGAGAAAAGCUUUAGAAAAUUAAAAGACAAAUUGGUUAAUGCCCCAGUCUUAGCUCUUCCAGACUCAGAAAAGGAAUUUGAAUUAUAUGUGGAUGUUAAACAAGGCCAUUCUUAAGGAAUUUUGGUACAAGAGCAUGGGGAAACACAGCGGCCUGUUGCUUAUUUUUCUAAGCUCUUAGACUCAGCAUCCAGAGGCUGGCCUCACUGUCUGCAGAACUGUGCAACCAGAGCCUUGAUGGUAACUUGAGUCCCAAAAACUGACAGUAGGAGGAUAUCUGAUUGUUCAAGUUUCACAUCAAGUUAAAGUGUUGUUAACUGAAAGAGCCUCUAAGUGGAUGACCAGUGCUCACUUAUUACAGUAUGACUCUUGUUUAAUGGAACAGGAGGACUUAGAAUUGAAAAGUGGGAAGGGUUUAACACAGCCUCUGUGAAUGGCCCUGAAGAAGGGGCUGGGAAGAAUCACAUGACUGCAUUCAAGUGAUAGAUCUCCAGACCCGGGCUAGGGAACAUUUACGAGACACUUCCUGGCCUGAGGGAGAAAAUGUGUUUAUGGAUGGGUCUUCAGGGAUGGUAGGAAGGGAAGCUAUUUACAGGAUACGCUAUCAUUAAUGGAAAGGAAUUAAAGGAAGGAGGUAGAUUUCUACCCACAUGGUCAGCUCAGACAGUGGACCUGUAUGCACUUGUAAGGGCCUGUGAAUUAUAUCAGGACAAGAUACUGAAUAUUUUUACUGAUUCUAAAUAUGCAUAUGGGGUGAUACAUGCAUUUGGGAAAUUAUGGGAAGAAAGAGGUUUAUUAACCUGCAGAGGAAAAUUGUUAGCUCAUGAGAGCUUAAUUUCUCACCUAUUGGAAGUGGUGAAUUUACCAAAAGGGGUGGCAAUAAUACAUGUUAGGGAACACCAGGCAGGGUGGUCAGAAGAGGCAAUAGGUAACUGACUGGCUGCUGAAGAAGCUUGGAAAGCUGCACUGUUGCCAGAAAUCUCUUAAUAGCCUCCCUUUGCUCCUAGUAACCCCAUCCUUGCCAGAGAAACUGUCCCUUCCAUCAGAGGAGGUUGAGAUAAUUAAAAAGAGUGAGGCAGAGUAAAGAGGGUAUCCUAGGGUGACUUUAUGAUGCUUGUAUCCCCAUUCGUCUGUUUAGCCCAGAAAUAAGUUUUGCACCGUUAAAACUAGUUCUGAGAGCAAAGGGGGGGAAAGAAGAAGCACAGUUUGUUUUCAGAAACUGCACUCACUCCUCCACGUUCUGGCUGAUGGAUUGUGUUGUCUGCAGCACGGACGGAUGACGGGACAGAGCUCUCCUUUGCUUUUAGUUAGUUUUUAGCUAGCUGAGGCAGAGAAGUUCCCUAGACUAUGGUUAUUCUUUUCUCUUAGAACUGUUUAAACCUGCUCUAGACUGAACACCCAGAAGAGCACUGGCAGCUCACACCUAUAGCCCACUGGGGCCAGGCCUGGGCCGAGGCAUUUCCAGUGCCAGAGAGACUGAUAACAGACUUAGUGAGCCAAACUACAGCCCACAAAAGGGACUUUCUGAGUUUGUCAUCUGUUUUGGAGCAGCAAAAGGUUUUAUUGGUUAAUAUUGUUAAAUUUUUUUUUUGUGCUGGUAAAUGCUUUGCCUACUAAAGAAACAGUUUUUUCCACUUUUCUCCAAGGAAAUAUUUUCCCGAAGCAGUUAAGGGAGGGGGCGCUUAAAUCUGCUUUUUAGAGGAACCCCUUUGGAGGUUUUCUCCCAAAUUUGCCCUAAAUCAGGACAAAUACAUUUUUUGGCACCUAACACGUGGCUUGAGAAAACAGAAAAAAGCUAUACUGGUUACAUUUUAGUUGUACUUAUUCUGUAUUGAGAUAAAGCAGUCAAUAGCCAUGUUACUUGAAUUCAUAAUGGUUCUCUGGGUAGGGGCCUUUAUGUGUUUCUGGUCCCUAAGCUUUUUUGAGGUUUUAAUACCUUUCUGGUCCCUAGGCCUAUUUUCUUAUCCAGAAAUAACCCAAAUAUUAUCCCUAACACAUAGCUUUUACAGUAGAGGGGCAUGGAUUAGAAUAGCUAUUGUGCUGAGCUCAGUGAUAAUGAUUUAUAGGGAGUUUACAAACAUACUAGAGUCUAUUCAAGAUACGUAUAGUUUAUAGUUUCUUCAUCCUACCCUACAACCUAGUUCCAAUAACAUGUUUUGGGCAUUUAUUAGUAACUGUGCCAAAUUUGUUAGAGGAAGAGCAGGGGAUGAGGCUUUUCAGCCUUUUCUUUCCUUCUUCUCCUUUAAAUCUGUUAAGUCACUUUUUGAGAAUGUUCAAUUUCCCCUAAAUAUUGAAGAGACCACCUUCCUAGUAUUUAAUCUAGUAAGCUUCCUCUAUACAAUCUGCAGCUUCUCUAGAAUGAGGGCUGAGAUAUGCAGAGGAGCUGAUGAGACCCCUGACCCAAAAGUAAACCCAAGUGUGGAAAAUGCUGAGUAGUGUGGAGAAUGGGAGGAUAUGGACCAAACCCUAAAAGAAUUUUCUGACCCCAUAGCCUGGGAUUUUCCAUGUGAACAAAUUCAGAACCCAGCUGAGGCAGGGAAAUACUUGAAAGAGAAAUGCCAUGAUGACUCUAAGGAAAAAAAGAUCAUUGCAAUAAGCUAAGCCCUAGCAUACGAUUAUCGCACGCUGCUAGAUACUAUAGGGCAGCAAAUAAAAGCACGGGGGCAGGGAGAUCAAUCAGCAGCUACCCCAGUCACUCAGGCUGCAGCCAACACCCCAGCUACUCAGGUUGUAGCUAAACCAGAUGGUGAGCUUCAACCAAUGGCUAUUGCUCCUACCACGAGAGGUGGAAAACACACAAGCAAAACUGAUCGGCCAAUAGACGACAAUGAUCCGGGGGAAGGACCCUCAAAACCAAUUACUGACACAAAAUUGGAAGUCACUACUGAGUCCUUUUCCCUAAAAGACCUUAGUAGCCUAGGAAAAAAUUACACUCGACGACCUGAUGAAUCUAUAGUUGGUUAGUCCGUCUUUAGCGUGCUGCAGGUGAGGCUACAAUUCUGGACGGUACUGAAGCAAGGCAUUUGGGAUCCCUGUCACAUGAUCCAGUUAUCGACCAAGGAAUGAUGAGCGGGGCUAACCCUCACAGUCUCUGGGCACAGGUCCUGGGACGUGUGGCACAAAGAUAUCCAUGUGCAGAUGAUCUCUGUAUGCAGCAAACCCAAGAGAAGACCAUAGAACAAAAUAUUCAACGCUUGAGAAAAAUGGCAGUAGCAGAGAUUGUCUUCUCAGAUAACGUAAACACUAGGAAUCCAGACUUGGUACCAUGUACAUCCGAGAUGUAGCGAAAACUUCUAUGACUUAAGCCACAAAAAUAUGCUUCUGUUUUUAUGGGGUUCGGCUGUCCGUCUCUGCUCCCACACACGCGUAGGAUGGUUCUUUUGCAUGCUGGGCUUCAAAGGACGAGUCUGGACUCUAGCUUUUUGGUUCUUCAGAAUUAUUUAUUAUUUCUUAUCUACAAAGUUCUUUCUCUGUCUGGCCGGGAUCUGACCAGCAAGGCAGCCAAAGGCACUCUGACCGCCCAUGAGGCAGUUGCGUCUUUUUAUAGUAAAAACUACAUAUAUCAUAUUUACCUUUCAUUCCCAAUACCUAUCACCCUUAUUACCAAGUGCACCUUCACCAUAGACCAAUUCACAAGUGCCAACAUCACACGGAAGAUGGAUGACAAGAAGAAGAAGAACCUUGUGACACGCCCUGUUCCCUCCAUCUUGUCUCCAUUACCCCCCGUACCAAAACCCUAAAAUCUGUGCUUCACUCUAUAAAUAUGUCUUCCCUGCACCCUUCACACCUGAGUGAUUCUCACAGGUUUCAUUUCCUCAUACACAGGUGGCAAAUCCCUAGAAGGAUCAAAAUCAAGCCACCAAGUGCUUCUGGCAACAUUCCAAGAUCUCCGAACCCCCCACCCCCCCCC